ensembl:lncRNA
AUUUACUCCCUCCUUCUCUCACUGUAUCACUAGGUCUCUCUCUCCUCUCACUGUAUCACUAGGUCUCUCUCUCCUCUCUCACUGUAUCACUAGGUCUCUCUCUCCUCUCACUGUAUCAGUAGGUCUCUCUCUCCUCUCACUGUAUCACUAGGUCUCUCUCUCUCCUCUCUCACUGUAUCACUAGGUCUCUCUCUCACUGUAUCACUAGGUCUGUCUCUCUCCUCUCACUGUAUCAGGGUAAUUUACCUCUGUGUCCCUCCCUUCUCUCUCCCUGUAUCAUUAGGCCUCUCUCACCUCUCUCACUAUAUCACUAGUUCUCCCCUUCACCUCUUUCUCUCCUCUCUCUCUGACACAUGAACCCAUGACACACGAAUCCCUGAACUAUUGCUUGUGAAAGAAGCAGUGUGCCUUGGGUGGAUUUUGAAAGUACAUGGGAGGGGGAAGGGGGAGAGGGACAGAGAGAGAGAGAGAGAGAGGCGGAGUUGAGAACGAGGGAGUCAUUUCUGUGGAUAAACCUGCCUGUCUGCUUGGAUCCCAGGGAGGAGGAGCCUCCGGGUACGGGACUCAAACAAAGGAAACAUAAGCAAACUGACACUGAGCACGCAAGGAGGGAGCCAGGAACACACAACCUUUACUACUCGACCAUCCACUAGUGGCCCCUGGGGUCAACGACUAGAAGGCUUUUACUCGCUGGCCCUGUUAUGUAAGGAGCCCAGCGGGGGACAGGUUUGUGAAGAAGGACCGUGCGUGAGCGUUGGGGAUCCUGUGUGUGAGAUCACGGCUCUGCCAUCUGCGACUGGGAGUGAGUAAGCGUGUGUGUGUUUGUGUGUACCUGUGUGUGUUUGGGAUGGCAAAGCGGGGCUGGAAUAAUCAACAGCUCUGCUCGUAGCUCAGUGUCAUGGGGGGUUGUCAAAGUUACCCCUCAGCAAGUGAGACGGACGCAAUCCACGACUCUUCGGACCCGAAUCACGAAAAACUGUGAGUACGUCUUCUGCCCUCUCCUUCACUUCGGUUUGCGCUCUAAGGCAGAUGUCAUGGACCAGAUGUUUUUGUGUACCGAGCAACUUGCAGACGAGGCGGAGGUCUGUUCUUCAUGUUUCUCUUGUCCCUGUCAAAGUGGUUGUUCUUCCUUGUCUUACUCCACAUCCUACAUUAC